rnacentral:rRNA from 1 species
UACAGAGGGGGCAAGCGUUGUUCGGAAUUACUGGGCGUAAAGGGCGCGUAGGCGGCCUGUUAAGUCGAACGUGAAAUCCCCGGGCUCAACCCGGGAACUGCGUCCGAUACUGGCAGGCUUGAAUCCGGGAGAGGGAUGCGGAAUUCCAGGUGUAGCGGUGAAAUGCGUAGAUAUCUGGAGGAACACCGGUGGCGAAGGCGGCAUCCUGGACCGGCAUUGACGCUGAGGCGCGAAAGCUGGGGGAGCGAACGGG